UACGGAGGGUGCAAGCGUUAUCCGGAUUCACUGGGUUUAAAGGGUGCGUAGGCGGACAGGUAAGUCAGUGGUGAAAUCUCCGAGCUUAACUCGGAAACUGCCGUUGAUACUAUCUGUCUUGAAUAUCAUGGAGGUAAGCAGAAUAUGUCAUGUAGCGGUGAAAUGCUUAGAUAUGACAUAGAGUACCGAUAGCGAAGGCAGCUUACUACAUGUUAAUUGACGCUGAGGCACGAAAGCGUGGGGAGCAAACAGG
rnacentral:rRNA from 1 species